GCCAAGCAGCCGCGGUAAUUCCAGCUCCAAUAGCGUAUAUUAAAGUUGUUGCGGUUAAAGAGCUCGUAGUUGGAUCUCGGCGGGCAGGGGGUGGUUCGCUCUUCAGCGCUACUGCCCCGCUUUGCCCGUGUGAUUGGCGGAGGUUUCGGGGUGCUCUUCGUUGAGUGACUCGGAGCGCCGUCAGGUUUACUUUGAAAAAAUUAGAGUGCUCAAAGCAGGCUUUUCACGCUUGAAUAUUCGUGCAUGGAAUAAUGGAAUAGGAACUCGUUUCUAUUUUGUUGGUUUUCGGAAAUCGAGUUAAUGAUUAACAGGGACAAUUGGGGGCAUUAGUAUUCAGACGACAGAGGUGAAAUUCUUGGACCGUCUGAAGACUGACUACUGCGAAAGCAUUUGCCAAGAGUGUUUUCAUUAAUCAAGAACGAAAGUUAGAGGUUCGAAGGCGAUCAGAUACCGCCCUAGUUCUAACCAUAAACGAUGCCAGCUAGCGAUCUGCCGAGUUUUUUUUGUAGGCUCCGCAGGAAGCUUUCGGGAAACCAAAGCUUUUGGGUUCCGGGGGAAGUAUGGUUGCAAAGCUGAAACUUAAAGGAAUUGACGGAAGGGCACCACCAGGAGUGGAGCCUGCGGCUUAAUUUGACUCAACACGGGAAAUCUCACCAGGCCCGGACACUGGAAGGAUUGACAGAUUGAGAGCUCUUUCUCGAUUCGGUGGGUGGUGGUGCAUGGCCGUUCUUAGUUGGUGGAGUGAUUUGUCUGGUUAAUUCCGAUAACGAACGAGACUCUGUCCUGCUAAAUAGUUGGGUCGUCCUUCGUGCGAUCCAAGUUCUUCUUAGAGGGACUGGCUGCGUCUAGCAGCACGAGAUUGAGCAAUAACAGGUCUGUGAUGCCCA
rnacentral:rRNA from 1 species